rnacentral:rRNA from 1 species
AUUGAACGCUGGCGGCAGGCCUAACACAUGCAAGUCGAGCGGAUGAAGGGAGCUUGCUCCUGGAUUCAGCGGCGGACGGGUGGGUAAUGCCUAGGAAUCUGCCUGGUAGUGGGGGAUAACGUCCGGAAACGGGCGCUAAUACCGCAUACGUCCUGAGGGAGAAAGUGGGGGAUCUUCGGACCUCACGCUAUCAGAUGAGCCUAGGUCGGAUUAGCUAGUUGGUGGGGUAAAGGCCUACCAAGGCGACGAUCCGUAACUGGUCUGAGAGGAUGAUCAGUCACACUGGAACUGAGACACGGUCCAGACUCCUACGGGAGGCAGCAGUGGGGAAUAUUGGACAAUGGGCGAAAGCCUGAUCCAGCCAUGCCGCGUGUGUGAAGAAGGUCUUCGGAUUGUAAAGCACUUUAAGUUGGGAGGAAGGGCAGUAAGUUAAUACCUUGCUGUUUUGACGGUACCAACAGAAUAAGCACCGGCUAACUUCGUG